rfam:Stenotrophomonas maltophilia strain JCM 9942 contig_8, whole genome shotgun sequence.
AUUUGUAUAAGAAACAUCUAUGGAACCACCCGAUCCCAUCCCGAACUCGGAAGUGAAACGUAGCUGCGCCGAUGGUAGUGAGGCUUAAGCCUUGCGAGAGUAGGUCAUCGCCAGGG